rnacentral:rRNA from 1 species
CUACGGGGUGCAGCAGUGAGGAAUUUUGCGCAAUGGACGAAAGUCUGACGCAGCGACGCCGCGUGAAGGAUGAAGGCCCUCGGGUCGUAAACUUCUGUUAAGUGGGAAGAAAUAUCCUUUUUUAAUAGAAAAGGGUGAUGACGGUACCACUAGAGAAAGCACCGGCUAACUUCGUGCCAGCAGCCGCGGUAAUACGAGGGGUGCAAGCGUUAUUCGGAAUGAUUGGGCGUAAAGGGUGCGCAGGCGGUACAUUAAGUCAACUGUUUAAUUUCCCGGCCUAACUGGGAGUCAGCGGUAGAAACUGAUGUACUCGAGUAUGGAAGAGAGAAGUGGAAUUCUCGGAGUAGCGGUAAAAUGCGUGGAUCUCGAGAGGAACACCGAUGGCGAAGGCAGCUUCUUGGUCCAUUACUGACGCUCAUGCACGAAAGCGUGGGGAGCAAACAGGAUUAGAUACCCGCGUAGUC